rnacentral:rRNA from 1 species
AUUGAACGCUAGCGGGAUGCUUUACACAUGCAAGUCGAACGGAGUGGCGGGGGGGUGAGUAAUAUAUCGGAACGUGCCCAGUAGCGGGGGAAAACCACUCGAAAGUGUGGCUAAUACCACAUUCUAUUGUAGCGGCAGAUAGGGGAUGAGCUAGUGGGUGGGGUAAGGGCUCACCAAGGCGACGCUCCGUAGCGGGUUUGAGAGGAAGACCAGCCACACUGGGACUGAGAAACGGCCCAGACUCCGACGGGAGGCAGCAGUGGGGAAUGUUGGACAAUGGGGGAAACCCUGAUCCAGCCAUCCCGCGUGUAUGAUGAAGGCCUUCGGGUUGUAAAGUACUUUUGGCGGAGAAGCGUUAUCUGCAGAAGAAGCACCGGCUAACUACGUGCCAGCCGCCGCGGUAAUAC